rnacentral:rRNA from 1 species
GGACAGUGUCUGGUGGGUAGUUUGACUGGGGCGGUCUCCUCCUAAAGAGUAACGGAGGAGCACGAAGGUUGGCUAAUCCUGGUCGGACAUCAGGAGGUUAGUGCAAUGGCAUAAGCCAGCUUGACUGCGAGCGUGACGGCGCGAGCAGGUGCGAAAGCAGGUCAUAGUGAUCCGGUGGUUCUGAAUGGAAGGGCCAUCGCUCAACGGAUAAAAGGUACUCCGGGGAUAACAGGCUGAUACCGCCCAAGAGUUCAUAUCGACGGCGGUGUUUGGCACCUCGAUGUCGGCUCAUCACAUCCUGGGGCUGAAGUAGGUCCCAAGGGUAUGGCUGUUCGCCAUUUAAAGUGGUACGCGAGCUGGGUUUAGAACGUCGUGAGACAGUUCGGUCCCUAUCUGCCGUGGGCGCUGGAGAACUGAGGGGGGCUGCUCCUAGUACGAGAGGACCGGAGUGGACGCAUCACUGGUGUUCGGGUUGUCAUGCCAAUGGCACUGCCCGGUAGCUAAAUGCGGAAGAGAUAAGUGCUGAAAGCAUCUAAGCACGAAACUUGCCCCGAGAUGAGUUCUCCCUGACCCUUUAAGGGUCCUGAAGGAACGUUGAAGACGACGACGUUGAUAGGCCGGGUGUGUAAGCGCAGCGAUGCGUUGAGCUAACCGGUACUAAUGAACCGUGAGG